ACCCACCUGAUUCCAUUCCGAACUCAGAAGUGAAACGAAAUAGCGCCGAUGGUAGUGUGGGGUUUCCCCAUGUGAGAGUAGGACAUCGCCAGGC
rnacentral:rRNA from 1 species